rnacentral:snRNA from 1 species
AUAAUUUGCUGGUGCAAGGGCCUCAUUGAUUACCGAGGACGAUCUACGAGGGCGAGAUGCGGGCAUUGCAUUGUGCUCGCGGUGACCCCUGCCACUGCCCCAAACUGAGGCAGAUGGGGCACGCAAAUUGC